GGAGACAGAAUGAAACUCUAGAGCCCUCAUUCUGUGUUCUAGCAGACUAUUCCUCAAUGCUAAAAAGCUUGGCAUAGAAUAUCAAGUGAGAAAACCUCAAGACACCAUAUAAAUGCUGGGUAAUCCAGUGAUUAUACGCUGUUAAUAAUAAUCUCACAUUUCCAUGUAGCCCUAGACCUUCUGUUACAUCAUCACAAGGAAUCCCAGAUAUGGAAAGUUGCUCCCACAGAGGCAAUUAAGGGGAAAGUACACGUAAGGCGGCAAUGACUUUGAUCUUCUCAGGCCACCGUUCUGCCAGAUAUUCAAGCAAAAUGUUCAUGAAGCCACACAUCAUGAGGCAGUUCUUCCUUUUCUCCCCCUCACUACAGGAAAAUAAACUCCAUAA